AUAUGAUCUCGCUCCUGUAAGCACUUUUUACGUCCCAGCAAAUGAAGAACUGUUGAGGUACAGUCUCCAGAAUGACGCUGAGAAAUGCAGUCGUCGACCUUGCCAUAUCCAGCGAGAGAAGUCCCCUGGAAAUCCAAGCCAUCACUGCACUCAACCAUGUGUCUCUGGGCUGUUUCAGGACUUUCAGGAGAAGAAACUGAGGUCCUUUAACAUCUGCCGGACGAUGCUGAGGAUGUUCUACGAGUCUGUGGUGGCCAGUGCUAUCAUGUUUGCUGUUGUGUGCUGGGGCAGCAGGCUGAGGGUAGCAGACACCAACAGAAUCAACAAACUCAUUCGUAAGGCCAGUGAUGUUGUGGGGACGGAACUGGACUCUCUAACGGUGGUGUCUGAAAAGAGGAUGCUGUCCAAGUUGCAUGCCAUCUUGGACAAUGUCUCCCAUCCACUACAUAAUGUACUGGGUGGGCACAGGGGUACAUUCAGCCAGAGACUCAUUCCACCGAGAUGCAACACAGAGUGUCAUAGGAAGUAAUUCCUGCCUGUGGCCAUCAAACCUUACAACUCCUCCCUUGGAGGGUCAGACACCCUGAGCCAAUUUACAUAAUUUACAUAUUACUAUUUAAUUACUUAUGGUGCAACUGUAACGAAAACCAAUUUCCCUCGGGAUCA